UGGCUCAGGACGAACGCUGGCGGCGUGCCUAAUACAUGCAAGUAGAACGCUGAAGUCUGGUGCUUGCACUAGACGGAUGAGUUGCGAACGGGUGAGUAACGCGUAGGUAACCUGCCUCAUAGCGGGGGAUAACUAUUGGAAACGAUAGCUAAUACCGCAUAACAGUAUUUACCGCAUGGUAGAUAUUUGAAAGGAGCAAUUGCUUCACUAUGAGAUGGACCUGCGUUGUAUUAGCUAGUUGGUGAGGUAACGGCUCACCAAGGCUUCGAUACAUAGCCGACCUGAGAGGGUGAUCGGCCACACUGGGACUGAGACACGGCCCAGACUCCUACGGGAGGCAGCAGUAGGGAAUCUUCGGCAAUGGGGGCAACCCUGACCGAGCAACGCCGCGUGAGUGAAGAAGGUUUUCGGAUCGUAAAGCUCUGUUGUAAGAGAAGAACUGUGAGAAGAGUGGAAAGUUUCUCACUUGACGGUAUCUUACCAGAAAGGGACGGCUAACUACGUGCCAGCAGCCGCGGUAAUACGUAGGUCCCGAGCGUUGUCCGGAUUUAUUGGGCGUAAAGCGAGCGCAGGCGGUUUGAUAAGUCUGAAGUAAAAGGCUGUGGCUUAACCAUAGUACGCUUUGGAAACUGUCAAACUUGAGUGCAGAAGGGGAGAGUGGAAUUCCAUGUGUAGCGGUGAAAUGCGUAGAUAUAUGGAGGAACACCGGUGGCGAAAGCGGCUCUCUGGUCUGUAACUGACGCUGAGGCUCGAAAGCGUGGGGAGCGAACAGGAUUAGAUACCCUGGUAGUCCACGCCGUAAACGAUGAGUGCUAGGUGUUGGGUCCUUUCCGGGACUCAGUGCCGCAGCUAACGCAUUAAGCACUCCGCCUGGGGAGUACGACCGCAAGGUUGAAACUCAAAGGAAUUGACGGGGGCCCGCACAAGCGGUGGAGCAUGUGGUUUAAUUCGAAGCAACGCGAAGAACCUUACCAGGUCUUGACAUCCCGAUGACCGCCCUAGAGAUAGGGUUUCUCUUCGGAGCAUCGGUGACAGGUGGUGCAUGGUUGUCGUCAGCUCGUGUCGUGAGAUGUUGGGUUAAGUCCCGCAACGAGCGCAACCCCUAUUGUUAGUUGCCAUCAUUCAGUUGGGCACUCUAGCGAGACUGCCGGUAAUAAACCGGAGGAAGGUGGGGAUGACGUCAAAUCAUCAUGCCCCUUAUGACCUGGGCUACACACGUGCUACAAUGGCUGGUACAACGAGUCGCAAGUCGGUGACGGCAAGCUAAUCUCUUAAAGCCAGUCUCAGUUCGGAUUGUAGGCUGCAACUCGCCUACAUGAAGUCGGAAUCGCUAGUAAUCGCGGAUCAGCACGCCGCGGUGAAUACGUUCCCGGGCCUUGUACACACCGCCCGUCACACCACGAGAGUUUGUAACACCCGAAGUCGGUGAGGUAACCUUUUAGGAGCCAGCCGCCUAAGGUGGGAUAGAUGAUUGG
rnacentral:rRNA from 1 species